rnacentral:rRNA from 1 species
AGUGAACGCUGGCGGCAGGCCUAACACAUGCAAGUCGAGCGGCAGCGGGUCCCCGCGAGGGGAUGCCGGCGAGCGGCGGACGGGUGAGGAACACAUCGGAAUCUGCCUGGUUGUGGGGGAUAACGUAGGGAAACUUACGCUAAUACCGCAUGAGACCCUGAGUCGACGGACUGGGGGUGAAAGUGAGGGACCUUCGGGCCUCACGCGACCAGAUGAGCCGAUGUCGAAUUAGCUAGUUGGCGGGGUAAUGGCCUACCAAGGCGACGAUCGGUAGCUGGUCUGAGAGGACGACCAGCCACACUGGGACUGAGACACGGCCCAGACUCCUACGGGAGGCAGGCAGUGGGGAAUAUUGGACAAUGGGCGCAAGCCUGAUCCAGCGAUGCCGCGUGUGU